rnacentral:rRNA from 1 species
UACGAAGGGGGCUAGCGUUGUUCGGAAUUACUGGGCGUAAAGCGUGCGCAGGCGGCUUCUCAAGUCAGGGGUGAAAGCCCAGAGCUCAACUCUGGAAUUGCCUUUGAGACUGAGUGGCUUGAGUACGAGAGAGGUGAGUGGAAUUCCCAGUGUAGAGGUGAAAUUCGUAGAUAUUGGGAAGAACACCGGUGGCGAAGGCGGCUCACUGGCCCGUUUCUGACGCUCAGGCGCGACAGCGUGGGGAUCAAACAGG